GAUGAACGCUGGCGGCGUGCCUAAUACAUGCAAGUCGAGCGAACAGAUAAGGAGCUUGCUCCUUUGACGUUAGCGGCGGACGGGUGAGUAACACGUGGGUAACCUACCUAUAAGACUGGGAUAACUUCGGGAAACCGGAGCUAAUACCGGAUAAUAUUUCGAACCGCGUGGUUCGAUAGUGAAAGAUGGUUUUGCUAUCACUUAUAGAUGGACCCGCGCCGUAUUAGCUAGUUGGUAAGGUAACGGCUUACCAAGGCGACGAUACGUAGCCGACCUGAGAGGGUGAUCGGCCACACUGGAACUGAGACACGGUCCAGACUCCUACGGGAGGCAGCAGUAGGGAAUCUUCCGCAAUGGGCGAAAGCCUGACGGAGCAACGCUGCGUGAGUGAUGAAGGUCUUCGGAUCGUAAAACUCUGUUAUUAGGGAAGAACAUACGUGUAAGUAACUGUGCACGUCUUGACGGUACCUAAUCAGAAAGCCACGGCUAACUACGUG
rnacentral:rRNA from 1 species